GGAUUAGAUACCCUGGUAGUCCACGCUGUAAACGAUGAGUACUAGCUAUUGGAUCUGGUGUAAAAGAUUUAGUGGCGUAGCUAACGCAUUAAGUACUCCGCCUGGGGACUACGGCCGCAAGGUUAAAACUCAAAGGAAUUGACGGGGACCCGCACAAGCGGUGGAGCAUGUGGUUUAAUUCGAUGCAACGCGAAGAACCUUACCUACCCUUGACAUCCAUAGAAGAACUAAGAGAUUAGUUUGUGCCUUCGGGAACUAUGAGACAGGUGCUGCAUGGCUGUCGUCAGCUCGUGCCG
rnacentral:rRNA from 1 species